ACAGUGUUCAUGUCACUUUUGUUCUCUUCCCGAAGGGCGAACACACAUUUGUCAUAGUGACCUGCAAGCAGCAAAAGGAACUCGUCUUCACCCUAUUAUCCAGGACGUAGUGGAACACUCGAUGGAGCUUCUCGCCUCUGAGUGCUGUGCUCUGGAUCCGUGGCAGACUACCCGUGUGAAGCUCAGCCUGUCAACCCCAACAAGAGAUCAAGUCACCCACUACCUUCUAUUCAAGGAAAAGCAGUGACCGAACUGAGAAUCAGCAAAUUCAUGAAGUCCCCCUGCAGCAGCAACACUGAAAUAACCCCAAACGUUCUUAUUGCUGCGGAAAUUUAGUUCCUGAACUGUUCCUGAGCUGGGCUUAAAACCCUGUUAGAGAAUGAUGAAUAUAAGAGACCAUGUUAUGUUUCCAAGGAAGAGAACAUGUAUACAUUCAUCCUUUAGGCUCUGUGUUAGUCACACACAGAAGCAGAAAAGAUGUACAAAAAUAACAAAGGCCAAGGCCCAGUGCUACAGACCCACUGAGGACUCUAUACUGACUAAAGUGAGAUUAAAUGACCAAUGAAGCAAU